rnacentral:rRNA from 1 species
CAUCCAUAUCACGUUGAAACACCAUUUCCCGUACGAUUACUGAAGUUAAGCAACGUUGAGUUUAGUCAGUACUUAGUUGGGUGACCUUUUGGAAAUACCAGGUGCUAUA